UUGGACAUAUCAUGUGUUUUGAAACAAAGUAGAAUACAAAUAAAUAAAUAAGUCGACUUUCUGUCCAAACAAGACAGCAUGAAAAGCAGGAACUUGGUGGUGGUAUGACGUUUCAAUGAACCAAAGAGGCUCUGAUUACUGUCUGUAGACACCCACGGCACAAUUAUUAAGUUCAUUGGACAGAGAAGAAUCUGGAUUCAGCUGUGACAGGACAGCAAAUUAAAUAUACAUGGACAAAAGGAGGAGGCAUUCAAGCUUUUUAUAGUCUUCAACAACAACCAGUCCCUACAUUUAAGAAGGUUAAUAACUGAGACAACCUUCCUGGUGGAUCCAUCAUUUGGCCCAGCUUGUAGAAAGAUUCCCAACUAGCUCUAAUUAGUUCCAUCUUAUUUGGAGGCAGAGGUAUUCCUCAUCAUACCCAUAUCCUCACAUAAAUUGUCCAGUGCCCUAGGUACCAGGGAGAAAGAAGACGAAGAAGGACAUAUACCAGAAGCACAUUAAUAGGCUGCUGGAAAACUCUGCCACACUUUCAGAUGACAGGUCACCUACAGAUAAAUGAUUCAAGGAUCAACGAAGUUCUGAAGUUUUUUUUUUUUUUUUUGGGGGGGGGGGAUAGAGUCUCACUGUGUCACCCAGGCUGGAGUGCAGUGGCGUGAUCUCAGCUCACUGCAACCUCUGCCUCCCAGGUUCAAGCGAUUCUCCUGCCUCAGCCUCCCAAGUAGCUGGGAUUAUAGGUGCCUGCCACCAGGCCUGGCUAAUUAUUUUUUGUAUUUUUAGUAGAAACGGGGUUUCACUAUGUUGGCCAGGCUGGUCUUGAACUCCUGACCUUGUGAUCCACCCGCCUCAGCCUCCCAAAGUGCUGGGAUACAGGUGUGAGCCACCAUGCCUGGCCAGUUCUUAAUACUGCCAGGAGUGCUUUAGAAGGCUGGGAAUAUGGGGCGAAAGAUUAGACACCCAAGCUGUUGAAAACCACACAGAGUUUCAGUAAAUAUAUGCACAAUUUGAAAAAUAUAUUUGCAAAAAUCUAGGUGUCUCCGGUCUAGUCCUUCCUAUUAAUCAAAUAAAUUACCGAGCUUCAUGGCCCAGUCUAUGAUCCUAGUUCUGACCGCUGCUGCCCGUAAAGGCCUCAAUGAAUUCCUCUCUGAGCUUCCAGACUUCCUUGGCUGGCGACUUGUUCCUCUUGGGACAGCUUUUGCCUGAGCUGAGCAGCCUGGCCCCCAGCUGUGCAGGGCCCUCUCUCCGGUGAGAGGAAACGCUUUCAGCUUAGUCUGUUAACACAAACAUUCAAAAGCAAACAUUCAAAAGCCACAGAUCAUGUUCGCAUAAAUAAAAUAGGAUUGAGAAAAGCUUUGCCCCAAGAAACCAAAGGGGUGUUUAAAAAACAGCUCUUGCUUUCCAAGUAGGCAGGCAGCAAAGCCACAGCAAUUCCAAAAGUUUGUGUGCUUGGUAGAGCUGGGUGGCUGCAGCCGCAGACCUUUGAAGAGGAAAUGCCAUCCCUGGUACAGGCAGGCGGCCAGCCCAUGAGUCCUGAAAGUACCAGAGAGAAGCAGAAAGCAGGGGAGCACAGUUAGGAAGUGAAAAGGGAGAGGAAGGCACCAAGGAGAUAAAUGAGGAGAUUCUUCUUAUCUAGAGUUCCCACCCCAGAUCUAAGAGCCACAGGACAGAGCAACUCACUGUGCCUGACAGAGCUGGGGCCUGGUGAGUCCUAGGUGGCGGGCACAGCCCAGAGUGACUAAGGCUGUGAGGAGGGGUGUGCGCCGUCACUGAGGGGUGGAGAGGGGUGGUGGUGUCUGGGCUGGGAGAUGCCUUUGCUUUGAAAGCUUUGGAGGAAAUUAACUUUACAAGGUGCCUCCCUGUCUCCCAGAGUUAUUAAAAGAAAGGAGGGAGCAAAGAAGAAAUGGAAAAAUGGUAAUACCUCAGGAAGGGCUGUGUGAUCCCAACUGGAGGAAAUGGGAGGCAGAUGAAGUGACAAAUGUGCAACCUCUCCUAAGGGAGGAAGAGCUCUGAAUGUGACCUUGUGCAAAUGGAAAAAAAAAAAAAAAACACCAAAACACA